AUAAAGACGAUGAAUGGAAGAGUAAUUAUUUUCCUACUAUUCACAGCGAGCUGGGUAUGGUGUAAGCCAGUAAUAGGGAGCAUAAUGAAAAUCAUCCACGAGUUGCGGGCUGAAGUUUUAGUAAGCUGCGCCGGGCCUCUUUGAGGAAAUGCCGCCCGUUAUUGCGGUGAGGUAUAGAGCAUUUUGCUUCGUACCUAUGAGAUGCUAUGGCCUGUAACCAUAGUAAGUUGGGUGGUAUCGCGGAUUAACCUCCGUCCCUUAA
rnacentral:ncRNA from 1 species